ACCUGGGUGGCUCAGUCGGUUGAGCGUCUGACUUCAGCUCAGGUCAUGAUCUCACGGUCCGUGAGUUCGAGCCCCGCGUCGGGCU
rnacentral:tRNA from 1 species